rnacentral:misc_RNA from 1 species
AGGGCAUCAAAAGGCAUACUGUUGGUAAGAGCCAUAAACCUUCAUAUUACUCUUUGUAGUUUCAUAAAUUUUAAGCAUAUUCUCUCUCAUCAGAAUUUUGACUUUUGAAAUACCUGCUUUCUGCAAUGUUUGCAAUUAGUUUGCACAAAAUAAUUGCUCUUUGUAACUUUACUGGAUGAGUAUGACAAAUAAGUGUAAAGUUUGGCAUUCUUUCUCUGAUGCAGAGU